CGUAUGCAUACAAACAGUCGGAGCCCGCAAGGGUGACGGCGUACCUUUUGUAUAAUGGGUCAGCGACUUACAUUCAGUGGCAAGGUUAACCGAAUAGGGAAGCCGUAGAGAAAUCGAGUCCGAAUAGGGCGUUCAGUCGCUGGGUGUAGACCCGAAACCAAGUGAUCUAUCCAUGGCCAGGAUGAAGGUGCCGUAACAGGUACUGGAGGUCCGAACCGACUAGUGUUGCAAAAUUAGCGGAUGAGCUGUGGAUAGGGGUGAAAGGCUAAACAAACUUGGAAAUAGCUGGUUCUCUCCGAAAACUAUUUAGGUAGUGCCUCAAGUAUUACCGUCGGGGGUAGAGCACUGUUAUGGCUAGGGGGUCAUGGCGACUUACCAAACCAUUGCAAACUCCGAAUACCGAUGAGUACAGCUUGGGAGACAGUGCACCGGGUGCUAACGUCCGGACACAAGAGGGAAACAACCCAGACCGCCAGCUAAGGUCCCUAAAAUUGGCUAAGUGGGAAACGAAGUGGGAAGGCUAAAACAGUCAGGAUGUUGGCUUAGAAGCAGCCAUCAUUUAAAGAAAGCGUAAUAGCUCACUGAUCGAGUCGUCCUGCGCGGAAGAUGUAACGGGGCUAAGCCAGUUACCGAAGCUGCGGAUGUGCGCGUAAGCGUACGUGGUAGGAGAGCGUUCUGUAAGCCUGUGAAGGUGGCUUGUGAAGGCUGCUGGAGGUAUCAGAAGUGCGAAUGCUGACAUGAGUAGCGUUAAAGGGGGUGAAAAGCCCCCUCGCCGAAAGCGCAAGGUUUCCUACGCAACGUUCAUCGGCGUAGGGUGAGUCGGCCCCUAAGGCGAGGCAGAGAUGCGUAGCUGAUGGAGAACAGGUCAAUAUUCCUGUACCGAUAUGUAGUGCGAUGUGGGGACGGAGAAGGUUAACUCAGCCGGGUGUUGGAUGUCCCGGUUCAAGCGUGUAGUCAUAUCCCUUAGGCAAAUCCGGGGGAUUUAGAUGAGGCGUGAUAACGAGGAGGCUUGCCUCUGAAGUGAGUGAUACCCUGCUUCCAGGAAAAGCCACUAAGCUUCAGCUACAUACGACCGUACCGCAAACCGACACUGGUGCGCGAGAUGAGUAUUCUAAGGCGCUUGAGAGAACUCUGGAGAAGGAACUCGGCAAAUUGACACCGUAACUUCGGAAGAAGGUGUGCCUUUAGUAGGUGAUCCAUUUACUUGGUGAGCCCAAUAAGGCCGCAGAGAAUCGGUGGCUGCAACUGUUUAUUAAAAACACAGCACUCUGCAAAGACGAAAGUCGACGUAUAGGGUGUGACUCCUGCCCGGUGCUGGAAGAUUAAAUGAUGGGGUGCAAGCUCUUGACUGAAGUCCCAGUAAACGGCGGCCGUAACAAUAACGGUCCUAAGGUAGCGAAAUUCCUUGUCGGGUAAGUUCCGACCUGCACGAAUGGCGUAAUGAUGGCCACACUGUCUCCUCCAGAGACUCAGCGAAGUUGAAAUGUUUGUGAUGAUGCAAUCUCCCCGCGGAAAGACGGAAAGACCCCAUGAACCUUUACUGUAGCUUUACAUUGGACUUUGAACAGAUCUGUGUAGGAUAGGUGGGAGGCUUUGAAGCGGUGCCGCUAGGUGUCGUGGAGCCAACGUUGAAAUACCACCCUGGUGUGUUUGAGGUUCUAACCUUGGCCCGUUAUCCGGGUUGGGGACAGUGUAUGGUGGGCAGUUUGACUGGGGCGGUCUCCUCCCAAAGCGUAACGGAGGAGUUCGAAGGUACGCUAGGCACGGUCGGAAAUCGUGCUGAUAGUGCAUUGGCAUAAGCGUGCUUGACUGCGAGACUGACAAGUCGAGCAGGUACGAAAGUAGGACAAAGUGAUCCGGUGGUUCUGUAGUGGRA
rnacentral:rRNA from 1 species